rnacentral:lncRNA from 1 species
CCUGCCACCUCGUGAAGACAGUGUCUUGCUUCCCCUUUGCCUUCUGCCAUGAUUACAAGUUUCCUGAGGCCUUCCCAGCCACGCUGAGCUGUGGCAGAGAUGAGGAUCAACCAGCAAAUGAGAUUGUGAGAGUGGCGUGUGAGGUAGGAGAAAGAAGAGAAUCGAAUCUAGGAAGGGAUAUGGAUGGAGCUGGAAACCAUUAUCCUCAGCAAACUAAUGCAGGAACAGAAAACCAAACACUGCAUGUUCUCACUUCACCUGCAGGGAUCCUCCCUUGUGGCCCUCUCCCUGCUUGAAGUCCCACCCAAAAGGCUUGGGGACAUAGCAGCAGCUGCCUUGGUACAGAGGAUAGAUACAUUUUGUUUGAUGCCCUCUCUCCAUACUACAAUGCCUGGACCGAGGAAUUCCUCCCAUGUUUUGUUUCUCAGUCCUUCCUUGUCUUUCAUGACCUUGACACUUUUGAAGAAUACAAUUGAGGUAUUUUGUAGAAUGUCUCUCAAUUUAGUUUUGUCUGAUGUCUCCCAUGAUUACACUGAGGUUACACAUUUUAGCAAGAAUGCUGCAGAAGUGUUCUUAGGGCAUCUUACUGGGAGGUACGUGAUGUCGAUGUUAACCCUGAUCAUUUGGUUAAAGUAA